AUAACUCUUGUUAAGGAACUCGGCAAAUUAGUCCCGUAACUUCGGGAAAAGGGACGCCUUUUUAGUGUGAAGUAGAACAUACGGAGCAUGAAGAGGUCGCAGAGAAAUGGGCCAAGCGACUGUUUAGCAAAAACACAGGGCUCUGCAAAAUCGUAAGAUAAAGUAUAGGGUCUGACACCUGCCCGGUGCUGGAAGGUUAAAAGGAGAGGUUAGCGUGAUUUAUCAUGCGAAGCUUUGAAUUGAAGCCCCAGUAAACGGCGGCCGUAACUAUGACGGUCCUAAGGUAGCGAAAUUCCUUGUCAGGUAAGUUCUGACCUGCACGAAUGUGUAACGACUUGGUCACUGUCUCAACAAGAGGCUCGGUGAAAUUGUAAUGUUAGUGAAGAUGCUGACUACCUGUAGUUGGACGGAAAGACCCCGUGCACCUUUACUGUACCCUGACACUGUGAUUUGGCAACGUAUGUGUAGUAUAGGUGGGAGACUUUGAAGUUGGGACGCCAGUCUCGAUGGAGUCGUUGUUGAAAUACCACCCUUACUUUGUUGGAUUACUAACUGAUACCCGUUAUCCGGGAUCAGGACAAUGUCUGGCGGGCAGUUUGACUGGGGCGGUCGCCUCCUAAGGAGUAACGGAGGCGCCCAAAGGUUCCCUCAGCACGGACGGAAAUCGUGCGCAGAGUGUAAACGCAUAAGGGAGCUUGACUGCGAGACAAACAAGUCGAGCAGAAACGAAAGUUGGGGUUAGUGAUCCGGUGGUCUCGAGUGGAAGGGCCAUCGCUCAACGGAUAAAAGGUACGCCGGGGAUAACAGGCUGAUAGUGCCCAAGAGUUCAUAUCGACGGCACUGUUUGGCACCUCGAUGUCGACUCUCCGCAUCCUGGGGCUGGAGAAGGUCCCAAGGGUUUGGCUGUUCGCCAAUUAAAGCGGAACGCGAGUUGGGUUCAAAACGUCGUGAGACAGUUUGGUCCCUAUCCUCUACAGGCGUUGGAGAUUUGAGGAGAUCUGUUCCUAGUACGAGAGGACCGGAAUGGACGAACCUCUGGUACAUCGGUUAUCGCGCCAGCGGUACAGCCGAGUAGCUAUGUUCGGAAGGAAUAACCGCUGAAAGCAUCUAAGCGGGAAAUCUACUCCAAGAUGAGAUCUCCCCGGGACUUUAAGUCCCCUGAAGACUCCUCGAAGACUACGAGGUCGAUAGGAUGGCGGUGUAAGUGCGGUAACGUAUUCAGCCUACCAUUACUAAUCAGUCGUGAGGCUUGAUC
rnacentral:rRNA from 1 species